GAUGAACGCUAGCGGCAGGCCUAAUACAUGCAAGUCGAACGGUGUCUUCGGACAUAGUGGCGCACGGGUGCGUAACACGUAUGCAACCUACCUUACAUUGGGGGAUAGCCUUUCGAAAGGGAGAUUAAUACCGCAUAAGACAGUAGCUGGGCAUCCAGCAGCUGUUAAAGAUUUAUCGAUGUAAGCUGGGCAUGCGUCCAAUUAGCUAGUUGGUGAGGUAACGGCCCACCAAGGCAAUGAUUGGUAGGGGAACUGAGAGGUCAAUCCCCCACACUGGCACGGAGAUACGGGCCAGACUCCUACGGGAGGCAGCAGUAGGGAAUAUUGGGCAAUGGACGCAAGUCUGACCCAGCCAUGCCGCGUGCAGGAUGAAGGCGUUAUGCGUUGUAAACUGCUUUUAUACAGGAAGAAACGACUCUUGCGAGAGGCAUUGACGGUACUGUAUGAAUAAGCACCGGCUAACUCCGUGCCAGCAGCCGCCGUAAGAC
rnacentral:rRNA from 1 species